rnacentral:rRNA from 1 species
UACGGAGGGUGCAAGCGUUACUCGGAAUUACUGGGCGUAAAGGGCUCGUAGGCGGCCAGCUAAGUCUGAUGUGAAAUCCCCAGGCUCAACCUGGGAACUGCGUCUGAUACUGGAUGGCUUGAGUCCGGGAGAGGGAUGCAGAAUUCCAGGUGUAGCGGUGAAAUGCGUAGAUAUCUGGAGGAAUACCGGUGGCGAAGGCGGCAUCCUGGACCGGCAUUGACGCUGAGGAGCGAAAGCCAGGGGAGCAAACGGG